rnacentral:rRNA from 1 species
AGAUUGAACGCUGGCGGCAGGCCUAACACAUGCAAGUCGAGCGGUAGAGAGGUGCUUGCAUCUCUUGAGAGCGGCGGACGGGUGAGUAAUGCCUAGGAAUCUGCCUAGUGGUGGGGGAUAACGUUCGGAAACGGACGCUAAUACCGCAUACGUCCUACGGGAGAAAGCGGGGACCUUCGGGCCUCGCGCCAUUAGAUGAGCCUAGGUCGGAUUAGCUAGUUGGUGAGGUAAUGGCUCACCAAGGCGACGAUCCGUAACUGGUCUGAGAGGAUGAUCAGUCACACUGGAACUGAGACGACGGUCCAGACCUCCGUAGGGAGGCAGCGAGGUGGGAAUAGUUGGAACAAGUGGGACGAAAGCCUAGA